GUACGGCCUGUUCAUCAGUUGGAGCAAUGUUUCCAGAGCAUUGUCAUCAACGAGGCAAGCAAAGCAGAUUUCAGAAGUGAAGGAACGUAAGAUACUAAAAUAGGUCUGAGUCUUGACACCCUAGCCUGACCCCGGGGAAGAAAAUUCUCCACUGCCUUCAGUGGGAGCUGGCUGGGUAAGCAGA
rnacentral:lncRNA from 1 species